rnacentral:rRNA from 1 species
AGUCUGACGGAGCAACGCCGCGUGAGUGAUGAAGGUUUUCGGAUCGUAAAGCUCUGUUGUUAGGGAAGAACAAGUGCGAGAGUAACUGCUCGCACCUUGACGGUACCUAACCAGAAAGCCACGGCUAACUACGUGCCAGCAGCCGCGGUAAUACGUAGGUGGCAAGCGUUGUCCGGAAUUAUUGGGCGUAAAGGGCUCGCAGGCGGUUUCUUAAGUCUGAUGUGAAAGCCCCCGGCUCAACCGGGGAGGGUCAUUGGAAACUGGGAAACUUGAGUGCAGAAGAGGAGAGUGGAAUUCCACGUGUAGCGGUGAAAUGCGUAGAGAUGUGGAGGAACACCAGUGGCGAAGGCGACUCUCUGGUCUGUAACUGACGCUGAGGAGCGAAAGCGUGGGGAGCGAACAGGAUUAGAUACCCUGGUAGUCCACGCCGUAAACGAUGAGUGCUAAGUGUUAGGGGGUUUCCGCCCCUUAGUGCUGCAGCUAACGCAUUAAGCACUCCGCCUGGGGAGUACGGUCGCAAGACUGAAACUCAAAGGAAUUGACGGGGGCCCGCACAAGCGGUGGAGCAUGUGGUUUAAUUCGAAGCAACGCGAAGAACCUUACCAGGUCUUGACAUCCUCUGACAACCCUAGAGAUAGGGCUUUCCCUUCGGGGACAGAGUGACAGGUGGUGCAUGGU